ensembl:snRNA Gm24259 U6 spliceosomal RNA
GUGCUCGCUUUGGCAGCACAUAUACUAAAAUUGGAACGAUAGAGAGAAGAUUAGCAUGGCCCAUGCACAAGGAUGACACGCAAAUUCGUGAAUAGCCCAGAAACUUA